UACCAAACUGGAGAGCUGACGUUAUAGUCUUCACGGCGCCCACAUAUUCUGCGACGUCAAGUUGGGUUUCCUUUUCUGCAAAAAGAAGUUCUAUAUCUUCUGUGGACAACUCAAUUUCUGCACUUAUGUGAUGUUUGUGGGCAGAUUUCAUAACAAGGUACUGUCUUUGUUUACUUGGUCUUCUUCCAUCACCGUGCGCUAUAGUGGGCACUGAGACCUUGAAUUGGAUUUUUCCCUCUACCAUUCUCCUGAGAUCCUUGAAUUCAGUAUUGAGACAGGCGAUAGCCAAGGAGGUCUCUAGAAAUUUGACAAAUUCUAUAGCGUUGGUAUAGACUCCCAGGAGCGCCUCAAAUCUGACACUGUUUUCCCUAACAUUUUUACCCACCAGCAGGUGAAAACUUUUAAAAAGUCCCUCUGCUGCAGAUUCUUUAAUCUGAGAAGUCAAAUUAGCACCAGUCCUGACAUAGGCAAACGCCCUAUUCUCCACGGGUGCGUCCAUUGGGCCAAGAUGACAAUAUUCUUACCAGUAUUCUGUGAUUUGCCAGAAGUAUACCAAGAUUGUGAAUAUGAUGAGAAUAGCCAACUGUCUAUCUUAUUCUGGAUAUCAUCCAAUACAUAUGAGGUAGUAGAGAAUGUACAACAAUUUAAUAUACUUGGUAAAGAUUUAACAUUCUGUUUAUGUAGAGCUUUAAGAAGACUGCUCCUGGGCAUAAGACUGUACCCAACCUGCAAUACUGAGUCUAACAGAUAUGUGGUUACCGGGGACAGAUAUGUGGGCAAUGGUUUGGUGGUUAGUCCCACAGGUAGGCAUAUUCAGCGCAUAGAUACCUGCACCUAUGUUCCAGUGAUAUACAGCUUUGAACAAACUGACGCACAUUAUGAUGGCAUGGGACCUGGAAAACUGAGGGCCUUGUAUCAUGAGCAAUUAUUUUUUAAAGGAAUUGAUUAUUCCUUUGUAUUUUCCACCCUCAUCAGAUUUUUAUCUAUGAAACAGAUAGAUGAGUGUUACUACUCUUUUAUCCAUACUUUGGAACCCUGGGCCAGGUCUGCUUGUAAAAAAAAUUACUUGAAGCUUACUGAGUGUUUUAAAAAUGUGGCCCUCACAAAGUUGCCUGUGGUUGAUGCCACCUUUCAUUUGGAAUAUAUCAAAUUCAAUAUCAAAUGUUUCCUUGACCAAUGGAAUGACUGCCCCGACCUUUGGGUACUUAGAAGAACCAUCUCUGCGAAUUUAUCCAAAAAACACCUGCUGGCCACUAUUGGAAGACUCAUGUCUGUGUGUGAGAUCCAGCUUAGGAACCCCUUAGCCUAUCAUGAUCACCUAACUAUGAUGAAAACAUUUCCACAAGUGACAAUAUCUGCUCAGAAGAAACCCACCACCUGUUUAAAUCAGAAACUGGAAAUAGUCAUGUCAGGUACAGAGUCCAUGUGGCUGGUAUACACUCCUGCUUCUAGUAUGUUUCGAAUUAUGCUCUGUGCCGCCUACAUCAGCGACAUCUACUACAACAAUACUGUGCAGCAGGCAAUUUAUGAUGUCACCCACGAUAAGCCAAGCAACGGUGAGAUGUUGAUGAACUUGUAUAGAAGAAUUGAUUACCUGCCUAAAGACUCAGUAGAAACUAUUGCAAGAGUGUGUUCCACCCCCUGGGAGAACCCCCUAAUUGAAAGGCCGCCUACCAUGUAUCAUGAAUACUGUCCAAUCAAAAAUCUUAGCAUCAAUAGUUUCAAGGUCACAAUUUUUAAUACAAAUAUGGUCAUCAACACCAAAAUCUCAUGCAAAAAGAUCACCCCCCGAUUUAGAUCAUUCUUGGAUAUCCCUAGGCUCACCAAUAACUUUGUUGUGAAAAAGUAUUCUGUUAAAGAACCAUCAUUUACCAUAAGUGUGUUCUAUUCUGAUGAUUUAUGUAAAAGUGGUGCCAUCAACAUCAACAUCAGUGGUACACUAAUACACUUCCUCUUUGCUAUGGGCUGCCUAAAAUGCUUCAUGCCCAUCAAAACUAUAAAUCCUGUCCUGAUAUCCAACUGGAACUCAACCUUUGAUCUUCAGGGACUAGAAAAUCAAGAGAUUGUCAGAACUGGCAGGCAUGAUGUGUUUUGGACCACCAACUUCCCAUCAGCGGUCUCUACCAAGCGCGGGUACAACAUUUCCUGGUUUAAGGCCGCCACCGCCACCGUCUCCAAGAUCCACGGCGGAGCGCUGCUAGAUCAAGUGAGGGGGGAAAUUUCACAGAUAUUACUCAGCAGUGAUGCAAUUAUAAAUACUAACAAAAAUUGCAUCUACACUACACUGGAAAAGCGAAACCGCUUUCAGAUUCAAACCUUGCACAAAAGAUUCCUAGAGUGCUUGUUUGAGUCAUGUGUGGCUAGCAAACUUAAUUAUCAUACAGUGAAAAGGCUAUGUUCUACAGGCAUUUUCGAUUUCAGUAGACAUAUAAUUAGUCAUUCAAAAAACAAGCAUGAAUGUGCACUGUAUGGCUACCGAAAGUGUAAUCUUGUACCAAAAAUAUUAACAGGUACAAAAAAGACUCGCCUGGACGAGCUGGGGCGGAAUUCCAAUUAUCUUUCAUUCAAUAAAUCCCCACUUCACCAUAAAAAGGAUGCUUCGGAUUUUAAAAAAAGACUGUGCCUUAACAGGAGGAGAAGUAACCCUUGCCAACCAGACUAAAAUCUUUUAUGUCAUCAAGGCCCCAUCCUUGUGUUCCCUGGUUGGGUCCCCCAGCUCAGAUUCUGUGACCUCUCAGGAACUUUUCAAGACCUUCCCCUGCGAAACCCCACUGUCAAUGCCCCUGGUCAGCACAAGCAAUCCUCUAUUAUCUAUAGUCAGGCUCAUGGUAUCUCCCAAACCCUAUGACCUGACGGGUGUUUUGUGCUUUGGUGAAGAUCAUGAAACUCACUAUAUCCUUAGAAGAGUUGCAAAAAUCCUGACCAUGACUCAAGAAGAAUUGGAUACAAUUUGUGAUAUAGAACUACACUUUUCUUCGAACGAGACCCUUUCCAGCAACAGGGUUCCCAGCAGACUGACAGAAAGCAUUUUCCCUGGACUUGUUCCAACAGUACAUUUCCCCCAAAACAUGAUCCUCAGCAGGGGAUUCUUCACAGGGGGGAAUGGUCCAAUCAUAAAACAUGUUGCACAAACUCAUCACCUGACCAGUGACUUUGUUGCCAGGGUUUUUUAUGCUCUGAAAACCCCACAGGCUCAUGCUCCUGGAGCUGCCCAAUUAUACCGUGGUCUACAGAUUAUGAACCAUGCCCACAACGGACUAGACUUCUUUCCCAGCGAUUCUGACAUUAAUGACAUGCAGCAGAUGUUUUUGAAACAUGUGUUGCUUUCUAGAAAAGGAACUGAUAGUUGUGCCCAGAUGUUUUUUCAGGCCUACCUCCCAGUGGCUCCCGAGGUGCUAGGCCCAGAAGUCAUUGAGAGGGUUGAAUUGGCCCUGGCAAAAAUUGAACUUUUUGCCAACAACACAGUUUUCUGUAUGAGCACCAUUUCAACCAUCGUCAGACCUCGAAUACAAGUAACAACAUCUGCCAAUAUCAAGUACAUCAGGAUGGCAAACAAAUACUUCACCAUGUUUCCACCCAUUAAUAAGGACACCGCUGUUAUUUUUGGUGCUGCUGUGCUCGAUCAGAUAUGCAAGGAGACCCCAAUACGUGAAAUUGUACUUGUGCUGCGCAAAUAUGCGCAUGUUGUACGCCGCCCACACACCCCCACAAUUAAAUUGUACACUGUACUGACACUUUAAUGAAAAAUGUACUUUAUUAUCUGCAAUACCAGAAAACAGAGGAAGCAGAGCAGAGAAAUGACAGCAAAUAAAAUAAAGACACUCUGAA
rnacentral:tmRNA from 1 species